rnacentral:misc_RNA from 1 species
UCCGAGUUGACCCCGGCAGUCUCUCAUGAGUCCCCGCCAUUACGCGCUGGCAACAUGGAACGAGGGUUGCGCUCGUUGCGGGACUUAACCCAACAUCUCACGACACGAGCUGACGACAACCAUGCACCACCUGUGAUCCUGCCCCGAAGGGAAGGGGUGUUUCCACCCCGGUCAGGAACAUGUCAAGCCCUGGUAAGGUUCUUCGCGUCGCGUCGAAUUAAGCCACAUGCUCCGCCGCUUGUGCGGGCCCCCGUCAAUUCCUUUGAGUUUUAGCCUUGCGGCCGUACUCCCCAGGCGGGGUGCUUAAUGCGUUAGCUUCGGCACAGAGGGGGUUGAUGCCCCCCACACCUAGCACCCAACGUUUACGGCUGGGACUAC